rnacentral:rRNA from 1 species
AACGUAGGACGCAAGCGUUAUCCGGAGUUACUGGGCGUAAAGGGCGUGUAGGCGGCUCUUCAAGUUCGUCGUGAAAGACCCCGGCUCAACCGGGGAGGGUCGAGGGAGACUGAAGAGCUGGAGGACGGUAGAGGGACAGGGAAUUCCGGGUGUAGUGGUGAAAUGCGUAGAGAUCCGGAGGAACACCAGUGGCGAAGGCGCUGUCCUGGGCCGUUUCUGACGCUGAGGCGCGACAGCAUGGGGAGCGAACGGGAUUAGAAACCCCCGUAGUCC